rnacentral:rRNA from 1 species
CCUACGGGUGGCAGCAGUGGGGAAUAUUGGGCAAUGGGCGCAAGCCUGACCCAGCAAUGCCGCGUGAAGGAAGAAGGCUUUCGGGUUGUAAACUUCUUUGACAGGGGAAGAGCAGAAGACGGUACCCUGAAAACAAGCCACGGCUAACUACGUGCCAGCAGCCGCGGUAAUACGUAGGUGGCAAGCGUUGUCCGGAUUUACUGGGUGUAAAGGGUGCGUAGGCUGUGAGGUAAGUCAGCGGUGAAAUGCCCCCGCUCAACGGGGUGAAGUGCCAUUGAUACUGCCUUGCUGGAAUGCGGAUGCCGUGGGAGGAAUGUGUGGUGUAGCGGUGAAAUGCGUAGAUAUUAGGAGGAACACCAGUGGCGAAGGCGGCCUACUGGACGGUGACUGACGCUGAGGCUCGAAAGCGUGGGGAGCAAACAGGAUUAGAUACCCCUGUAGUC